CACAGAUUUUCCCACAGUGACCCCUAGACUCUCCCCCACUGAGCCUUAGAUCUACGGAUUUGGUGGUUUCUUAUAAAAAACAACUAAAGAGCCAUCUUUUUAAGUAAAGUUGCUUUUGGGUAACUUUUUUAGACAAUUUUUUGUGAUAUUUAUCUUAAAAGGUGCUAUAUAAAUAAAACUGUGCAUACAUUCCAGCAAAAUUCACAUGAUAAGAUCAGACUUUAGCUUUAAGAACAUAAAAGCACGGCUCCAUCCUGCCUUGUAUGAACAAUUCAAGUUGUUGCUUGUGGUGUAAUGUUGUGGUUCCUUGGCACAUCUUGGGCUCCUUAGUACUGAGCAUCAUUUAAAAUGCCACAUCCUACCUGAGUAGCUACUCUUGCUGAUUAUAUCCAUCCCUUUUUGGCAACAGUGUAUAAUCUACUAAUGACAACGUGCCAGGUCACAAAGCUCAAAUUAUCUCAAAUUGGUUUCUUGAAUAUAACAAUGAGAUCGCUGUACUCAGGUGGCCUCCACCACCACCAGAUCUCAGUCCAAGAGAGCAUCUUUGGGAUAUGGAGGAAUGAGAAUUUCAGAUCAUGGAUGUACAACGAACAGAUCUGCAGCAUCUCUGUGAUGCUAUCAUAUCAAUAUGGAACAAAAAACCUGUUCCUAAUGAAGUGGAUGGUGAGUUUUUGUAGCCUUUUUUUUUGUUUUGUUUUUUUACAGCCAAUGGUAUAAAAGUGAUGGGCCGUAAUAGCUGAGGUAUCCUGGAUAAAUGCCAUAGGACUUCUGUGGAUUCUGGAGCCCCCCUGUGGUGGGAUUUGGCUACUGCAUGGACAGGGGCAUAACAAAUACGAUUUCAAAUCUAAGUUUUUUUCAGAGCUGCACUUUGAGGGCAGACGACUUCGUCAUGGAAAAAUAGCGAGAUGACAGACACAAUUUCCUCUUGUUAUAGCAGGAAAGGCGCAGAUAACUAACGGUUCUGUUUUAUUUGGCAGUACCAGUAAAGACUGUGUAACACAGCAACUUAUUGAAGUCAGCCAGUCACUCUGCGUCCGUGAUAACAUAUCACAAUGCCCACAAUAAAAAACAAACAAACUGUGUAUUAUGUUUGCACGUAUUAUAACUGGCAAAUCAUUCCUAGUCCACUAAAUCAUUUGCAGA
ensembl:lncRNA